UAAAUAUGAAGAGGAAUCAGUGAUCAGUUAGAAACUCACUGAUAAAUAUACAAUUUCUUAUACAAUGUUAUAUACAUGUAUGUAUAUGACAUAAUAAUCUUAUUUUUGAGAGAAUUUAUUCUAAAGAGUAUAAACUGGAAAAAGUAAAGAUCCAGCAGCUCUUAAGACAUACACAAAGACAUGUGCGAGGGGGCGGAGGUACUUGAAGGUUAGGAUAUUUCCUCUUGUUUAAAACUCUGUUUUCGUGGUCUUAUGCACUUAGCCGUUACAUUCUUUCUUAAUUUAAUCAGGAUCAUUGAUUUAGCAGAAUAAGUAAGAAAAAUUCUUUUACUUAGGCACGACAGUUUUUUUUU
rnacentral:lncRNA from 1 species